rnacentral:misc_RNA from 1 species
GCAACCGCCAGUUUCCCGCCGAAAUAGAUUUCCUUCUUCUCGAGUUCACCCACCGAUUCAACUCUAUCAAAAGCCAAGCCAAGCCAAGAUGUUUAUCCUCCGAGUCCACUCAGUGGACGUCGAUCACCCUCUCACUCUCCAGGAGUCCACCUUCUCCACUACCCAAUCAAACCCUAUCCCUAACCCUAAAUAAAGUGAAAGAAGAGGCGUAGUGCAAGUCUAUGAAAACGCAUAGCAUAGCAGUGCUUAUUGCCAAACCUUAGCUCUCGAUCCACUUCUCUCUU